CUGAGAAUAACAAGAACUUUCAUGUCAGAGGUUGUCACAGCUUUGCAGUGCAGAUCCCCUGAACCCACCUUUUGUUUGGAGGGCUAUGCUGUGCAUUUGAUUCAGUGUGGAGCUUCAUGGGAGUCAGUGGCAAACACUGUCUGGUUGGUGAUAUCUC
rnacentral:lncRNA from 1 species